rnacentral:tRNA from 1 species
GCCCGGAUGGUGGAAUUGGUAGACACGCUGGACUUAAAAUCCAGUGGCUUCACGGCCGUGCGGGUUCAAGUCCCGCUCCGGGUACGA